rnacentral:rRNA from 1 species
ACGCGGCGGUGAAUACGUUCCCGGGCCUUGUACACACCGCCCGUCACGUCAUGGGAGCUGGCCUUACCCGAAGUCGCUCGCCCAACGGGGCAACCCGAGGGAGGUGCCUAGGGUGAGGCUGGUGACUGGGACGAAGUCGUAACAAGGUAGCCGUACGGGAACGUGCGGCUGGAUCACCUCCUUUCUAGGGAG